CGUUCUAGUGUCGCGUUCUAGUGUCGCUUUGGAAAAGUUCUUGUAGUAAUCCGUCCCAAUGUCGCUAUGCCAGUAUAUAAAAGCUCUCAGUCGCCAUCUAUGAUCAGUUUCAUUGACAACGUCAUUCGUCAUUCUAUUUUAAAGUUAUCGUGUGGUCCUGUGGGGCAUCAGAUUUUACAGUCAUCUGUCAUACUUUACAGUCAUCAUACUAGUCCAUCGGCUUGUCUCUUGAGGCAGGCUAGCUUAUCGCCCGAACCAGAAGAUGGUGACAAGGAUGUCGAUGUUGAUCUCUAUCAAGCCGCUGUUCUGAUUUUGGCUCAUUUGGAUCGAUUAGCAUCUCCAUUUAUUCAAACAUUCAAAUCGGAUCGCGUAGUUAUGGAAAAUACUUUAAUUCGAUUGGAUUUGAGCGCCGCUACGGUGGACCCGGGUGGACCGUUUCACAGUAGUCCAGAAACUUCCAAUAACGAUAGAUCAAGUUGUCUGCACAGCCCUUGGUCUCCUGUUUCUUUCCGGCGAUGGCAAAGUGUACACAAUCAGCUAUAACGAUCAAGAACCGGGGAAAUCCAAAUCUGGGUGCCGUACAAGAUACAGCUCAAGCUUUUCUCCAAUUGGCUUGGAGUCUUCUUUUGCCUACUGCUUCAGAAAGAGCUUCAGCAUUGCCCACACUUUUGCAAAGAGACGACGAAUAUGAUAGUUGUGGUGGACGUUUCAUGGCCGAUUUAUUGGUGAUUUCCAUGAUGGCGGACGGAGGGUUACAAGCAGCUUUCGAAGCUUCGUUGCUAGCUGAAGCAAAUGAUCUUGAGAUAAACGGCCGAUGCAAUAACGACGCGGUAUUGAGAAUAGGGGAUGGCGCAAAAAAAUAAAAAAAAUAAUAAAACAUACUAUAAAUAAGAGAAAAAAAAAAAAAAUAUCUCCCAAUCAUACUAUAGCUGGGAAAAAUUUACUUUUCGAGUUAUUCACGUUGAAAGUUUCGACUACGUGGCCCACCUCUAAAACGCAGGAGGUGGCCUAUUUAUCACGUGAUUCUUGGUGCAUUACCGCUGGUCAGUUUUAACCAAUGAGAAUAGAUCACGUGAUCGGGGGAACCAAUAGAAGCGGGGAACAUCUGUCAUUUCGUCUGUGUCCGCAAGGUGUCGCGUCAAGCUUGUAGCAAUCUAGUUUUUUUACCGCCAUGUGGUAAAAGAAUGAAAAGUUGUUUUCAGGGAUACGCAUUCUAUUGGCUGUUGCCGGUCACGUGAUCUGCUCCCAUUGUAAAAACUGACCAGAGCUAAGCUAAAACUGGCAGAGCCAGGGAGUCGAAACUUUAAACGUGAAUAACUCGUAAAGUAAAUUUUUCCCAGCUAUAGUUUGAUUGGGAGAUAUUUUUUAUUUAUUUUUUCUCUUAUUUUUAAUAUGUUUUAUUAUUUUUUUUAAUUUUUUGCGCCAUCCCCUAUUCAGACAGCAUGGAGCCGGAGGAAACCGUUUACUUUCUAAAAUUCUAAAAAAUGAAACCAUAACCUUUCGGCAUCCGAUAAUGGCUUAUGCGGUGGCUACUCAAGCUGAAGAUUGACGUAAAGGUCUGAAAUUACAAAAAAAAUUAUAAUUGAAAUAUGUAAGAGUGGAUGAUUAAAUAGUUACCUUCCCACAAUAAUCACAUGCGAGAAUGGGUGAGUUGGGACAAACUUCAACGCUGGAACUAGGAAUUCUAAAGAAUAAUCCGUCCCAAUGUCGCUAUGCCAGUAUAUAAAAGCUCUCAGUCGCCAUCUAUGAUCAGUUUCAUUGACAACGUCAUUCGUCAUUCUAUUUUAAAGUUAUCGUGUGGUCCUGUGGGGCAUCAGAUUUUACAGUCAUCUGUCAUACUUUACAGUCAUCAUACUAGUCCAUCGGCUUGUCUCUUGAGGCAGGCUAGCUUAUCGCCCGAACCAGAAGAUGGUGACAAGGAUGUCGAUGUUGAUCUCUAUCAAGCCGCUGUUCUGAUUUUGGCUCAUUUGGAUCGAUUAGCAUCUCCAUUUAUUCAAACAUUCAAAUCGGAUCGCGUAGUUAUGGAAAAUACUUUAAUUCGAUUGGAUUUGAGCGCCGCUACGGUGGACCCGGGUGGACCGUUUCACAGUAGUCCAGAAACUUCCAAUAACGAUAGAUCAAGUUGUCUGCACAGCCCUUGGUCUCCUGUUUCUUUCCGGCGAUGGCAAAGUGUACACAAUCAGCUAUAACGAUCAAGAACCGGUCAGUUUAGUCUUGCUCAGGAUGAAUUUUGCUUUUUCAUUCGUUAGUUUCAAAGGAUUUUGAGUCACGGAGAUCAAGUGGGCAUUGAUGUUGGGCAUCACGGCUGCUCCUUACCUGUGUUGCAGCGUUUGAAGAACCACGUUAUUGCUCUUGCAGGGGAAAUCCAAAUCUGGGUGCCGUACAAGAUACAGCUCAAGCUUUUCUCCAAUUGGCUUGGAGUCUUCUUUUGCCUACUGCUUCAGAAAGAGCUUCAGCAUUGCCCACACUUUUGCAAAGAGACGACGAAUAUGAUAGUUGUGGUGGACGUUUCAUGGCCGAUUUAUUGGUGAUUUCCAUGAUGGCGGACGGAGGGUUACAAGCAGCUUUCGAAGCUUCGUUGCUAGCUGAAGCAAAUGAUCUUGAGAUAAACGGCCGAUGCAAUAACGACGCGGUAUUGAGAAUAGGGGAUGGUGC